rnacentral:rRNA from 1 species
AACGCGAAGAACCUUACCCAGACUUGACAUGCAGUGGAAGUAUGCAGAAAUGUAUACGCCCUUCGGGGCCGCUGCACAGGUGCUGCAUGGCUGUCGUCAGCUCGUGCCGUGAGGUGUUGGGUUAAGUCCCGCAACGAGCGCAACCCUUAUCGUUAGUUGCCAACAGGUAAUGCUGGGAACUCUAGCGAGACUGCCUGGGUUAACCAGGAGGAAGGUGAGGAUGACGUCAAGUCCGCAUGGCCCUUAUGUCUGGGGCUACACACGUGCUACAAUGGCCGGUACAGAAGGCAGCGAACCCGAAAGGCGAAGCAAAUCCCAAAAGCCGGCCCCAGUUCAGAUUGUCGUCUGCAACUCGACGACAUGAAGAUGGAAUUGCUAGUAAUGGCGAGUCAGCAACAUCGCCGUGAAUACGUUCCCGGGCCUUGUACACACCGAGUAUA